GUCCGCAUUGUCGCGAUCCAAAGUAUACGGACAGCGUUAACGAUUUCAAACAAUGUCGCCCGCGACUGACAUUCCCGGCCGCUGUCACUGUACACAUCUGUGCGAGAGCGGUUGUGGCGGGGGGGGGGGGGGGGGGGGGGGGGCGGCGGUCGGUACCGAAAAUCCGGUUCCGACCGAAAACCUCGCCGCGACGAUGGGACGUGGCUUUGCCGUAGCGCAAUCGGGUCGGCCGUUUGUCCACACAACGGACGAUAAACCCGGCGACUUUUCGUACAAUUUCUAGCCGAUUACUGCAGUACAGCUCUAGGAUCGCUCGGCAACACGCAAAGAACGUAACACUAUCCGUUCGGAAUCGUUUUUCGUCACGCAUAUAUACUUUCGGUUCUUCGCCCUAUCCACCGUCUCUCAAAACAAAUUUCAAAAUUAAAAACCAUAUCGGUGUAAAAUACAUUUUCGGAAAGUCAAAACUCCCUUCCCCCCACCCACUUCUUAUCUUGGUCCGUGUUUCGAGUGAAAACGUAUUCAGCUGCACUCAGCUAAAACUGACACGCGGGACAAAUUUACAUUAGCGGUAUUUUAUCCGUCGGCCCGGAUAAAUUUCAAUCGCCCGGCCUAAUUAUUUUCGUUUCCGCUCCGGGCUUGAUAUUAGUCGAUUGUUUUUAAUCGAAUUUCGCGCGAUCACGUGGUGACGCAUUAAUACCGCGAUUUGUUGUUGUGUUACAACAACGGCGCCCGGCACGGUGCGAAAUCGGACGGAAACAUUGAAUUUUCCAACAGGUUUUAUGCCAUCAUGGUAUUUGUGUUGUAAAACUAUCCCCGUCGAUUACGGUAAUUUUUCGCCUGCGCGCAACAUUGUCGAGACGCCUUCCGGGCGGAAUGUUAAUCGAAACCUAUACGGGAAUACGGCUGCGGAGUCGCAAAGUCCGCGCGACGCGGAAAAACCGUAAAAUCCGGCAUUAACCGCCCCCCCCCCACCCAGCACCGGUACGUUCCUCUACAAACCGCAAUGACGUGGGUACCGAAAUCCUUCGAAAACCGACGACGGACGUUAUAUUGUCGCGCGGUAAUUCUGUUCGUCCCCGGACGCAUUUUUUCCCGGCUGCGAAAUCGAAAUUACCGCCGGCGAACGAUAUCGAGGAGAAAAAAAACACGACGAUAAACGGUCCGGGAAUGUUCUCUCGCGUACCGGUCGUCGUCGUCGUCGGUGGGGCGAUAUUCCGAUUGACACGUCGACACGGGAAACGACGAGGAAAAAAAAAAAAAAAAUACGUACGGCCGCGCGCGUAAAACACAAUUAACAUCGUUUCC